ensembl:lncRNA
GUUGGAGUAAUGGUAGGGGUUGUUGUUGGGGUAAUGGUAAGGGUUGUCGUUGGAGUAAUGGUAGGGGUUGUUGUUGGGGUAAUUGUAGGGGUUGUUGUUGGGGUAAUGGUAGGGGUUGUUGUUGGAAUAAUGGUAGGGGUUGUUGUUGGGGUAAUUGUAGGGGUUGUUGUUGGGGUAAUGGUAAGGGUUGUCGUUGGGGUAAUGGUAAGGGUUGUCGUUGGGGUAAUGGUAGGGGUUGUUGUUGGGGUAAUGGUAGGGGUUGUUGUUGGGGUAAUGGUAAGGGUUGUUUGGGGUAAUGGUAAGGGUUGUCGUUGGGGUAAUGGUAGGGGUUGUUGUUGGGGUAAUGGUAGGGGUUGUUGUUGGGGUAAUGGUAAGGGUUGUCGUUGGGGUAAUGGUAAGGGUUGUUGUUGGGGUAAUGGUAGGGGUUGUGGUUGGGGUAAUGGUAGGGGUUGUUGUUGGGGUAAUGGUAGGGGUUGUCGUUGGGGUAAUGGUAGGGGUUGUUGUUGGGGUAAUGGUAGGGGUUGUCGUUGGGGUAAUGGUAGGGGUUGUUGUUGGGGUAAUGGUAAGGGUUGUCGUUGGGGUAAUGGUAGGGGUUGUCGUUGGGGUAAUGGUAAGGGUUGUUGUUGGGGUAAUGGUAGGGGUUGUCGUUGGGGUAAUGGUAGGGGUUGUCGUUGGGGUAAUGGUAAGGGUUGUUGUUGGGGUAAUGGUAGGGGUUGUCGAUGGGGUAAUGGUAAGGGUUGUCGUUGGGGUAAUGGUAGGGGUUGUGGUUGGGGUAAUGGUAAGGGUUGUCAUUGGGGUAAUGGUAAGGGUUGUCGUUGGGGUAAUGGUAGGGGUUGUCGUUGGGGUAAUGGUAAGGGUUGUGGUUGGGGUAAUGGUAAGGGUUGUGGUUGGGUUUGAUAUAGUAGUUUCUUCUGUCUGUAUUGUCA